GCUUUGUGGUGUAACGGUAGCACACUCGACGCGUAUUCGAGAGUUCCAGGUUCGAGUCCCGGCAAGGGCA
rnacentral:tRNA from 1 species